UCAGAGACCCGAGGAAAAUGCAUUUGCAAU
rnacentral:piRNA from 1 species